rnacentral:piRNA from 1 species
UGCCAUCUGCAACCUGAUUCAACGGCC